rnacentral:rRNA from 1 species
CUACGGGAGGCAGCAGUGGGGAAUUUUGGACAAUGGGCGAAAGCCUGAUCCAGCCAUGCCGCGUGAGUGAAGAAGGCCUUCGGGUUGUAAAGCUCUUUCAGCCGGAAAGAAAUCGCGCAGGCUAAUACUCUGCGUGGAUGACGGUACCGGAAGAAGAAGCACCGGCUAACUACGUGCCAGCAGCCGCGGUAAUACGUAGGGUGCGAGCGUUAAUCGGAAUUACUGGGCGUAAAGCGUGCGCAGGCGGUUAUAUAAGACAGAUGUGAAAUCCCCGGGCUCAACCUGGGAACUGCGUUUGUGACUGUAUGACUAGAGUACGGCAGAGGGAGGUGGAAUUCCGCGUGUAGCAGUGAAAUGCGUAGAUAUGCGGAGGAACACCGAUGGCGAAGGCAGCCUCCUGGGCCAGUACUGACGCUCAUGCACGAAAGCGUGGGGAGCAAACAGGAUUAGAUACCCCGGUAGUCCG